GUGGGGAGGCUGGGUGCCAGUUGACCCUGGAACUUGAGCCUGGAGGAGCUCCCUCAGAUGGCUUCCUUGACACGGUCAUGUGAGGAAGAGAGAGCCGAGUGUGAGCAUAGAAGAGGAAGCAGAGCUCUUCAGAGGCAGAGAGCCCGUUAAACACCAAAUUGUGAUCUUGCCCAGGUGGAGACUCAGAUAUUUGGCUUUCUUUUGAUGCAGUUGGAGUUGUCCAUUGCCUCAUUACCGCCUGUUGCCCAUGAACCAGAUUUUGGCAGCAUGGACCCUCUUUUUCCUGCUAAGUGUUAUUGUUUCAGUGAGAUGGACAAGAUGGAUGUCCAUCUGCACAGAGGGUGGGGGAUCUGGGUCAUGCAAUAAGAAUGUUAACAUGCCCCAGAUUGAAGUGACUUGCAUCCUUCAUUCCAUUUCUUCCAUUAAUGCCUCUUCUUCAGAAAAAAAAAAUAAAAAAGCAAAAAAAUCUAGUCUUCCUUCCUGCGACUUAAAAGCAUGUUGUCCUAGCAUUCUAGGUCAUUUUCCUUACUCCUGGGACAAGAUCUUAAAGUUCCCACCAUAGAGCUGACCAGAUGAAAGGGAUUUGUCCAUCUCUUCCAAAGACAGGGCAGGCGAGGGCAGAAGCAUAGCAACCAGCAACACAAAGAGAAAGGGAGGCUUUUGAUGUCCUUCAUCCCUCUGCUGGAUUAUAGGGUGGUGGUGUGGUCUAUUUUCAACACAUCUCUUGGAAACUUGAUUUAAUCCAGUGAAUCAUGUUUCCUAAGGAAAACUGACCAGAGGGCCUGUGGCUGCUGCCUCAUCUCCCUUCUUGCGCAUCCUUUCCUAUUAUGUCCACAUAAAGCAAACUACUUAAAAUGCUCCUAGAAAGAUUUCAUCUACUUCCUUCACCAUUGCAGGUUCGGCUCCUGGUAAUGUCCUGGAGAUUUAUAUAGCAAUCUGUGAAAAUUUCAGGGUAGGCAGACAAAUCUGAAGGUUGGUGCAAGAUGAGUUUUGUGGGCAGUUGCUUGUAAAAAGCAGGC